rnacentral:snRNA from 1 species
ACCGAAAACAAAGAGGGAUGCAA